ACAUAGUCAGCGACUGAGCGAAAGCAUUAAGUAAUCCCACCUUGGGGAGUACGUUGGCAACAAUUGAAACUCAAAGGAAUUGACGGGGGCCCGCACAAGCGGAGGAACAUGUGGCUUAAUUCGAUGAUACGCGAGGAACCCGUACCUGGACUUAAAUGUAGAUUGACAGGACUAGAGAUAGUUUUUUCUUCGGACAAUUUACAAGGUGCUGCAUGGUUGUCGUCAGCUCGUGCCGUGAGGUGUCGGGUUAAGUCCCAUAACGAGCGCAACCCCUAUCUUUAGUUACCAGCACGUAAUGGUGGGGACUCUAAAGAGACUGCCUGGGUAACCAGAGAGGAAGGUGGGGAUGACGUCAAAUCAGCACGGCCCUUACGUCCAGGGCUACACACGUGUUACAAUGGUCGGUACAAAGGGCAGCUACCUAGCGAUAGGAUGCUAAUCUCUAAAACCGGUCUCAGUUCGGAUCGGAGUCUGCAACUCGACUCCGUGAAGCUGGAUUCGCUAGUAAUCGCAUAUCAGCCAUGAUGCGGUGAAUACGUUCCCGGGCCUUGUACACACCGCCCGUCAAACCAUGGAAGUUGGGGGUACCUGAAGUCUGUUACCGC
rnacentral:rRNA from 1 species